rnacentral:ncRNA from 1 species
AAGUCGUAACAAGGUCUCCGUAUUUUACGAGAGUGAUCCCUCUGUAAAAUGGCACCUAAGGAAGCCUUUUGAAGCCGAGUUGCGAAACUUUGGAUUGAACGACUCUAAAUAAAUUGAUCUGUUGGGCUAGUCAGACUGUAAAAUGUUUUGGCAACACUAUCAAAUUUGCGGGAAACUCCUAAAGCUUUAGAUCUACUGUUUGUUGACUUUGAAAAAGGUCUAUUAAUGCCUUGCCUAAUCAUCGAGGGUACAGUAAUAACGUCAGAGAUGUAACAAUGGAUAAUCCGCAGCCAAGCUCUGCUGAACUUGUCCAAGUUCGUUGAGAAGGUUCAUCGACUAGAUGGUAGUGGGUUCUCCUAGUUGAGAGCUUAAGAUAUAGUCAGGCUUCUCGAGAAAUCUUGAAGAAAGAGUGCCGACUCUGCAACCGCUCCGUAGGUGAACCUGCGGAGGGAUCAUUUAGUGAAGAUUAGGACGCUCGCAAGAGGUCCGCUCCACUUUCCACACACUGUGAUAUGAACCAAUUUCCUAACAUUUUUGGUGUUUGGGAACAUUCUUACACACUUUGUGUUGUAACAGCUGAUAAUGUAACAAAAUUUGAUAAAAAGUUUAAAA